rnacentral:rRNA from 1 species
GAUGAACGCUGGCGGCGUGCCUAAUACAUGCAAGUCGAGCGAACGGACGAGAAGCUUGCUUCUCUGAUGUUAGCGGCGGACGGGUGAGUAACACGUGGAUAACCUACCUAUAAGACUGGGAUAACUUCGGGAAACCGUAGCUAAUACCGGAUAAUAUUUUGAACCGCAUGGUGCAAAAGUGAAAGACGGUGUUGCUGUCACUUAUAGAUGGAUCCGCGCUGCAUUAGCUAGUUGGUAAGGUAACGGCUUACCAAGGCAACGAUGCAUAGCCGACCUGAGAGGGUGAUCGCCCACACUGGAACUGAGACACGGUCCAGACUCCUACGGGAGGCAGCAGUAUGGAACCUUCCGCAAUAGUCGAAAGCCUGACGGAGCAACGCCGCGUGAGUGAUGAAGGUCUUCGGAUCGUAAAACUCUGUUAUUAGGUAAGAACAUAUGUGUAAGUAACUGUGCACAUCUUGACGGUACCUAAUCAGAAAGCCACGGCUAACUACGUG